rnacentral:rRNA from 1 species
UACGGGGGGGCGAAGCGUUGUUCGGAAUUACUGGGCGUAAAGGGCUCGUAGGCGGCCAACUAAGUCAGACGUGAAAUCCCUCGGCUUAACCGGGAACUGCGUCUGAUACUGGAUGGCUUGAGAUUGGGAGAGGGAUGCGGAAUUCCAGGUGUAGCGGUGAAAUGCGUAGAUAUCUGGAGGAACACCGGUGGCGAAGGCGGCAGUCCGUGGACCAACACUGACGCUGAGGGAGCGAAAGCCAGGGGAGCAAAGCGGG